rnacentral:rRNA from 1 species
UACGGAGGGGGCGAGCGUUGUCCGAAGUUACUGGGCGUAAGGAGCGCGUAGGCGGGAGAGCAAGUCUGCUGUGAAAGCCUGGAGCUUAACUCCAGAGGGUCGGUGGAUACUGCUUUUCUUGAAGGUGCGAGGGGGAGAUGGAAUUACCGGUGUAGCGGUGAAAUGCGUAGAGACCCGGAGGAACACCGGUGGCGAAGGCGGCUUCCUGGUCUGCGACUGACGCUGUGGCGCGAAAGCUAGGGGAGCGAACGGG